rnacentral:rRNA from 1 species
UACGGAGGGUGCAAGCGUUAAUCGGAUUUAUUGGGCGUAAAGGGCGCGUAGGCGGAUUGUUAAGUCAGAUGUGAAAGCCCGGAGCUCAACUCCGGAACAGCAUUUGAAACUAGCAAUCUCGAGGGUAGGCGGAGAAAACGGAAUUCCACAAGUAGCGGUGAAAUGCGUAGAUAUGUGGAAGAACACCAGUGGCGAAGGCGGUUUUCUAGCUUAUACCUGACGCUAAUGCGCGAAAGCAAGGGGAGCAAAC